UUUAUUUUUAAAUAUGUUGAUGUCUUGAUGAUGCAAAUUGAUACUACAUUUAAAAAAAAAAAAUUGUUUGUGGUGUUCAUUUGUGGUUUUGUGGCUUGUGCAGACUGUAAAGUACUAGAGUAGCCAUUGUUGUAUAAUUGUAUUUGUUGGGAUGUCUGGAACUGGAACUGAGAAUGAAGAUGUAGGGUGGAAGUAUGGUGUAAGGAAUAGGUGGGAUUAGACAGCAAAGAAUGUGCAAGUUUUGUAGUAUGAGUGUGAGCGGGGGCAUAACCUGAUUAAAACCCAUCAAAUGGGUCAAGUUUUGGGGUGUCCAAGUGUUCCUUAGGCAAUAUUUCUACACUAACAUUGUUAGUUUUUACAUACACCUCACCUGUCACACAUUCUCCAAGCAAACACGUACGGCGUACGUACUAGUGAAUAGACUAGUGAGUACUGAGUUGUAAUACUUCUUGAGUUCUUGGACAUGUUAGACUAUUAGCAAUAUAUGAUAUCAAUUUAUGACUUAUAUCAAUAGUUUAUAUAAAGAAAAAAUCAACACCAGAACUUACAACAGGUCAACCCGUCAGGACAUCAUUCUUACCCAAGAAUGGUCCGAUACACCAUUGAAUACAUGGUCAAAAUACAAAAAAAUUUAAAAAAAUGAUAGAUUCAUAUCUCAUUUUAUCAUAUUUUUCUAAAUUUUUUUAUAUCUUUUUUUGCUUAAAAAUAAUUCCGACCAAUAUGGCCGAUAGAGGCGGAUAUGGGGCAUUCCGAUAUGCGACGCCGUAUCGUAUCAUUUUUUAGUGGGGCCAUAUACAGUCAUUCAAAACCAUGACCUUCUUACAUGAUUCGUGAUCGUGACAUGGUUUAUCAGCAUUCUCCUUAUACUUUGUUGUUGUUGGUAAUGACACUCGUCUUACCAUGCUGGAUCAACUUCCAUAACCCACACCAAUGACCGAGGCAUUCUUUAUGAAGGAUUUGAAGACCUGUCAGCUCCUUGCUCAAGGACUAGGUCUAGUAGCUUCUAUGUAUUCUGUUCCAUGAGAUAUGGAUCUCACGGAAAAAAGAAGAAGAAAUUCCAAUGGAGAAUAUUUGAAUAUUUCUUUCAUAUUUCACAGUGAGCGAGUACAUCUUGAAUAGGACAAAGUGUGGUAUUAAAAAAUGGUUACAUAUCUACGGAAACAGUCACUUGGUGGAUCCUCACAUUUUUUAGAAUUUUACCUUUUUUUUUUUUUUUU